AUUUUUUGUAAUAUGAUAUGUUGCCCAGGCUGUUCUCAAACUCUUGGCCUCAAGUGACCUUCCUGCCUUGGCCUCCCGAAGUGUUGGGAUUACAGGCGUGAGCCACAACACUCUGCUGGUAUUUUAUCUUUAAGUAUCAACCAGCCUCCAGGAUGGUCCCUAAUGUUUCUCUCCUUUUCACAUUCAUGUCCUUAUGUAGUUUCCUCCCCCUCCCCCAACCUGUGUAAGCAAUAGGACAUCAUGGGAUUGACAGGGUGUUACUUCCAGUGCUAGAUCGUAAAAAACAUUGUGGCUUCUGCGUUGUUCUUUUUGAUCACUUGCUUCUGGGGACAUUAGGGCAUUCAAGCAGCCCUGAGGAGAGGUCCACAUGGUGAGCCACUGAGGGCCUUGCCAAGAGCCAGCACCAACGGUCCAGGUUUGGAGUGUACCACCUUGGAAGUGAAUCUUCCAGUCCAGUCAAGCCUUCAGAUGACUUCAGAACCGUCCAUGUAAGCCACUCUUGGAUUCCUGACCCACAGAAACUGUUGGAGGAACAUCACCUGUAGUCUUGCCAGUGAGAUCAAACUGAAGUCCAAUUAACCUCUGGAUCCAGCUGCCAAUUUGCAGGAAAUAGAGGAGAGAAGCAUCUGUUGAACUGCACCAUGAGUAUACACUCAGCAAAGGCCAAACUGUGGAAAAUGAUACAGGUCAAACAGCCUGGAUUCUUUAACAGGUAAAUUGUAAGGAAAAGAAGGGGCUGAAGGGGAAAACUUUAUAUUGAAAGAGACUUAAAUGAAAUUUUUUAAAUGGGCAGGAAUAAACUACAGUGUUUAAGAGUGCA
rnacentral:lncRNA from 10 species